CUACGGGUGGCUGCAGUGAGGAAUUUUGCGCAAUGGGGGGAACCCUGACGCAGCAACGCCGCGUGAGUGAAGAAGGCCUUUGGGUCGUAAAGCUCUGUCAAUUGGGAAGAAGUUAUUAUACUUAAAUAAGGUAUAGUAUUGACGGUACCAAUGAAGGAAGCAUCGGCUAACUCCGUGCCAGCAGCCGCGGUAAUACGGGGGAUGCAAGCGUUAUUCGGAAUUAUUGGGCGUAAAGGGCGCGUAGGCGGUUUUGUCAGUCAGAUGUGAAAGCCCAUGGCUCAACCAUGGAAGUGCAUUUGAAACAGCAAGACUUGAGUACGGGAGAGGAAAGCGGAAUUCCUGGUGUAGAGGUGAACUUCGUAGAUAUCAGGAGGAAUACCAAUGGCGAAGGCAGCUUUCUGGACCGAUACUGACGCUGAGGCGCGAAGGCGUGGGUAGCGAACGGGAUUAGAUACCCCUAGUAGUC
rnacentral:rRNA from 1 species